rnacentral:lncRNA from 1 species
CUCUGAGUACUUGUCAUGAGUCUCACGGGUCCUCCUUCCUCUUCCACGCCACAAUAUCAUUGACUGUGACAGACAUACGUCAUGUUUCUUUGGCUCUGCAUAACCACAUGUCCCAGGUGAAAUUAAUGUCUGCUUAUCUUUAAGGGUCUGGGAUUUAAUUAAAAAUGACAUUUCCCCAAACACGUAGCUGUGCUUCUAAUACUGCUGUUUGAAUUAGCUUAAGAGAUCCCUCUGAGCAGAAGGGAAAUAAGAAAGCUGUCAGCUGCUUACCCGAUCUGAGCCAUUUAUCCAUUAGAGCUUUUUUUUUUUUUACAGCAGCAAACUCUGUUCUGUCUGAAAUAACAGAACAAUACGUGUAAUUUCAUUUGAUUCGCUAAAAUCAUGGUAACUUUAGAUAUGCAUUUUACUUGUUUUGUGGAAGAGCCAGAUAUUGUCAUCCAGUGUGACUUUAUAUUACUAUGACUUUAUAUUAGAGCUUUACUUUAAACUGAAAUCUAAUAUUAGGCAGGGCUUGAUGAACAUUUUGAACUACCAGUACAACACAUAUUUAGCUCUUGCGUUUUUUGCUGUAAUUAUAUGCAGAGUGCUAUUUUCUUAUUAUACUGUGCAGAUACAGUGACAUAGGCUACAUUCACAUUACAAGCCUCAUUAAUCAAUUCUUUUCUUUUCUUUUUUUUUUGCCCAGGUAAGAUAUGGAUGUUCAUGUUCAUGAAUGUGUGACCUGUCUCUACCGUGAUGAACAAAUCUGUCCCUGGAGCUAAUCUGAACCAGUAUAGAUCAAACACUACACGACUGGGCAUGACACACUACACAACAAGAUCCCUGAUGACAUGGACCACCAUUGACAUGACUGUAUCAGGAGAUUCAGGUGCCAACAUGGAGGUGCACGAGCAUGCUGGGUUGGGAGAAGUGGUCAGCAUGGUGUCUACAUACAUUAUGUAAAGAGCUGAAGGUCCCCUAUCCAAGAAAUCACACUUCAAGGCUUCAAACCAAUGAUAUCAUGGCCAAGAGUAGUAUCCUGACAGUGGUUUGUGGUGUGUCCAACAUUUAAUGUGUUUUUCACUACCAGUUAUCUGUCUUCUGUAGGUCAAGAACCAUCUAUCUCCUUUGAUUUGACAGUUCCUGGACUUUGCCCCCGAUGAUGGAUAACGUGCAGAGUUUACUUGUGUUACCUCGUUUCUGAUAAAACAGUUGCUGUUUUGAAAUCCGACCUGAAGACCGAGAUUAAAUAAAAAAAAUAUUCUUAGUUAGUUUAAAAGUUUC